UGGCGGACGUGGGAAGGAGCGAAGAUGGCGGAGUGAGGCGUGUCCCUGCCGGUUGGCCUCUGGGCCCGGGCGGGUGGUUCCGAGAGGCCGAAUGCGCCUGCUGGAUCGGGUGCGGUGAGCUGAGGAAGCUGUCCACCGCCCGGCCGGGGCCGGGGUGCCCGGGAGCCGACGGACCUGCGCCAGCCCGGGCUUCCUCCGCUGCCCCCGGCGGGCGCCUUCCGGGUGUGCGGCUCGUGAGGCCCCUCCUCCCGGCCGGCCCGCCCUUCUGUGCGGCUGCUUUUGUACCUUCGCCCCGCUCGGGAUUGCGCUGCUGCCCCCCGUUUUUUAAGACGAUCAGCUUGGCUUGGUUUCUUUUGGUCCUCGUCGAGUCUCGGUUGCCCAAGGCGUCUUCAGUGAAGGAACUUUUUCACAUGAUAAAUAUUUUCCUGACCUUGGGUGCUGUUAUAUUUAUCUCAAAACAAAAUUCUGAACUCAGGACAUAGAAAGAAGCAUGUCUUCUCAGUGGCUAGUCCUGAUUCUUUAAUCCAGCCACUUUCCCUGGUGAAAUGUGGGUGUCUCUCGACAUAUUACCUCAUUGGUUUGGAAGAAGAGGAUGGCUUUUCUUUUGUCAGAU